AGUCAUUGACUCCACAGGGUACUGAUAAUGCUCCUGGAAAGUGAGAGAAACAAAUGCACUUGACGGCAAGGUGAUGUAGUUAAUCAUAUGCUCUCUCUGGAGAACCAUGAAGCUGUGUCUGCUCUUCAGUGAUGGGCUUUCUCCCAUGAGUCUCAGGAGAGGCAGAAACAGCAGGAUCUGCACACCUUGCUACAGCUGUGUGGUAUUUCCCUUGAAGCUCUGUAUCUCACUGUCACAUCCUCCAAGCCUCCUAAGCAGGAAAUGACCUGUCCUACACUGUAUAUGUUAUGUGUAGAUUACUCCAUGAUCCCGAGGUACCUCCAAGCCAGUGUUACAUCUGCAGUCAAGCACUUUGACUCCAUCUGUGAGGGUGGCAAUUCCAGCUGCCUCUGCAGCUGUUGUCUUUGCUGUUCCUUGGCCAGUCAUCAGGGAAUGACUCUUCCUUCCCGAAAGAUGCAAUGCAUUUCAGCCAGCUUCCACUUGAAAAGCAAAAGAAGCCAUUCAAAUACAUAAUGGCAGUUUCCAACAGUAUCUCAAGCAGGGAGCUAACCACAUAUUUCCUUUCAAGGUGGUGGAAUUGUGCCAAGUGAGUGGUCUUUGAUCUGAUCUUCAGAUAUGUGCCCAGGAAUUUAGGGGCCAUGCGCAACUGAACUAAGAAUGAUUUGUCUCCUGCAUGAAAUCUGGCUUUUUUUUCUUUUUUUUCUUUUUUUUCCAUCUGAAAAGAGUAAUGAAAAACUAAGACAGAAACAUACUGAUUUUUUUUUUUCAAAGAAACUGUAUUUUCAAACAAAAAUCAACAUCAAACUAGAUGCUGCACAUUCUGCAAGGUAUACACAUAGAGUGUUGGAUGUAUUGUAGUUUAAACAUCUAAAUAUGUUAUUGAGGUUAUGAGGUGUGAGCUUAAGAAGGGCUACAAUUUAGGCUAAUGGUGAAACUGUAGCUUACUAUGAGUGCAUGCUGAUAAAGUUUUACUUACAUAAUCCUUU